ACAAGGCGUUGGGGAUAAAUACUCCACCGUAUAAAACGGAGAAGCAGGCCCCUAUAUACUCUGUCUUAAGGUCUACCUUUCCCCUGCCUUUCACCCCCCCACCCCCCACCCCCACAAUAACACAUUCAAAAGCACCAUUUAUCAGAAUGAAAUCAUCAUUGUAAUAAUCAUCAUGCUGUUUUCAUCUACUCCACUAACAACUUGUUAUUUUUAACAACUCAUCCUAUUUCAAUUUCCAAAUCAAUAUUUCAGUAAAUGAUAAUUGCUGAAUCAAUAGAUGGAUCAGAGGAGUAGCUUCCAGAUUUGAGGGGAAUGUUGUCUGGCUCGAAGUCAUUAUCUCUUCUCGAUCAUUAUAGAUCGAACCAAUCCAAUUUUAUAUAUUCAAUCUAGUUUAAAAUAUAUGUGAUUACGAUGAUGAUGAGAUAGUGUCUUCGGACCAGGCUUCAUUCCCCCCAAUUUGGAAACAAAAAUUGCAUUACAUAAUUCUCUCCGUCUCUGAGGAAAUUUCUUGAGAAGAUGAGUUAACGUCACAAGUGUAAGAUUGACAUAUACGCUCACUCUUCUCAGACUACACUUAUGAAAUUAUAUUAGACAGUUGUUAGUGAUCAUCGAUAUCUAAGUCUUAGUUUCUCUGGUGUCUACCAACAAUAAUGGAAUUCUAUGAGCUGUAAUUUGCAUUUGGUAUGCACAUGGUAUAGAUAGAUUGUAUAUCAGUACAUAUAUUAAAAUCGUGUAAAUUGUAGUGGAGGGUAUCGUGGUUUGAAGAUUUUAUGGAACAUAAAUUAGACAUACAUUCUGCUGUAUGGAUCAUAAACCUUUUGAUUAUCUCUCAUCUACAUAUUCAUUUUUGAUAAA